GGGCUGGGAUGGCCACGACACUGCUCUAACCUUGCACAUCCCACCAUGCACUGUUUAACUUCUCCUUGAAGCCAGGAAGAAGAGAGUACGGGGCAGAGACCUCAGAGUCCAGAUGCCCAUACAAUCAGCUCUGAGGGCAGCCAGGGCUCAGGGCCAGGGUGGGGUGCUCAGCGGGGUGUUGUCAUCAUUGACCAUGUCCUGCUCCACCUGCUUCUCCUCCCCACUCCUGCUCCCCCUACCCUUUGGGAGGACCUCCACCCUUGUAAGCUGCCAGCUCCUUGUGAUGUGGUCACAUCUCACUGACUGGACACCUCUCACAGGGUUACCCCUCACUGGCCCACUGCUGGAGCCACCAGGAAGUUGGCCAGAGAGGUCUGCGGAGCCCUGUGGAACACCAGCCAGGACACUCAUCACCACCUGUCCCAGUGAGUGAUGGAGACCCGCACUCAGCCCGCGAGGAGGCGCUGUUACCUCCAGGAGGCAAAACGCCCAGGAUCCACCCACGGAACUCCACCCUGUGAAACGCUUCAGAAUCGCUCCGUUCUCGCUCAUGCGCCCUUUCUUCCAGAUGAAGGUUUGGAUCCACAUUUCUCUCUGGAGAGUCUCUGCUGGGUGCUCAGCCCCAGCUGCGUUUAGAGAGCAGUUUAACAGACGCCGAGCAUCAUGGCUUCCAUCCAGGGCCAUUAGAAAACCCAUCUUUCCAGGACACCCCUCAGACUUCCAGGAUCCCAGAUGGGACUCGCCUGGACGUGCCUACCUUUCCCAGGCAGCUGCCCGUCUUUGCUGUGAAAGUACCACCGCGCCCAGGACGGCACGUGUGCGCCCGGUCCCCAGGGGGCUGUUCUCGUUUAUCCCCACGUGCAGCGCCAGCUUUAGUUCUUCCUCCAGCGCUGAGCAGUUGUGUCUCAGCCCCCCGGCCCUCGCCCCUCCCCUCUCCCUGCGCCCCUCACCACGUCUUGCCCAGGCCUUGGUCUGUUCCUUCCAUUUGUCACCUGCUCUGUCCCCCCACCCACGGCAGAUGAGCACUAGGCGGCGUGGCUUGGUGCUCACGCUGCAGUCCCCAGGGCGCGGUUGUGAUUCACAGGAAGAGCCUCAGCUCAUCAGCACCCUUAUCGUCCCUCUGACUGCACGUUCACCCGCCCCACUGAGCGACUGUCUCAGCUCUCCUAGGUUACGAUGGGAAACCAACGACUGUUUGCAUGAAUAACUAGGCAAUACUGGUCCCAUGAAGCUCCCUGACUGCGGGCACGAUCCAUCGUGAGUGUUUAAAGCUGCCUCUCGGUGUUCCGUAUGGUCUGUAUUUCUGCAUAUCUAUCCUUCAACCUCUGUUACUCAUUAUAUCCUUGGUUUCACUAAAAUUUUACACCUUUUGUGUUUCACAU
ensembl:lncRNA